UACAGAGGGUGCGAGCGUUGUUCGGAAUUAUUGGGCGUAAAGGGCGCGUAGGCGGUGCGGUAAGUCACCUGUGAAAUCUCCUGGCUCAACUGGGAGCUUGCAGGCGAAACUGCCGUGUUGGAGUGUGGGAGAGGUGCGUGGAAUUCCUGGUGUAGCGGUGAAAUGCGUAGAUAUCAGGAGGAACACCUGUGGCGAAAGCGGCGCACUGGACCACAACUGACGCUGAGGCGCGAAAGCUAGGGGAGCAAACAGG
rnacentral:rRNA from 1 species